AAGGUGAAACCGCGAAUGGCUCAUUAAAUCAGUUAUGGUUCCUUAGAUCGUACUUUCCUACUUGGAUAACUGUGGUAAUUCUAGAGCUAAUACAUGCAACCGAGCUCCGACCUUACGGAAAGAGCGCUUUUAUUAGAUCAAGACCAAUCGGUCCUUCGGGUCCGUCCACUUGGUGACUCUGAAUAACUUUGGGCUGAUCGCACGGUCUCGCACCGGCGACGCAUCUUUCAAAUGUCUGCCUUAUCAACUUUCGAUGGUAGGUUCUGCGCCUACCAUGGUCGUAACGGGUAACGGGGAAUCAGGGUUCGAUUCCGGAGAGGGAGCCUGAGAAACGGCUACCACAUCCAAGGAAGGCAGCAGGCGCGCAAAUUACCCACUCCCGGCACGGGGAGGUAGUGACGAAAAAUAACAAUACGGGACUCAUCCGAGGCCCCGUAAUUGGAAUGAGUACACUUUAAAACCUUUAACGAGUAUCUAUUGGAGGGCAAGUCUGGUGCCAGCAGCCGCGGUAAUUCCAGCUCCAAUAGCGUAUAUUAAAGUUGUUGCGGUUAAAAAGCUCGUAGUUGGACUUGGGUCGCGGGCAGUCGGUUCACUAGCCGGUGUACACUGACUGGUCCGGACGUCCUGCCGGAUCGUCCUCGGUGCUCUUCACUGAGUGUCUUGGGUGGCCGGCACGUUUACUUUGAACAAAUUAGAGUGCUUAAAGCAGGCAGUUCGCCUGAAUACUGGUGCAUGGAAUAAUGGAAUAGGACCUCGGUUCUAUUUUGUUGGUUUUCGGAACUUGAGGUAAUGAUUAAUAGAGACGGACGGGGGCAUUCGUAUUGCGACGUUAGAGGUGAAAUUCUUGGAUCGUCGCAAGACGAACUAGUGCGAAAGCAUUUGCCAAGAAUGCUUUCAUUAAUCAAGAACGAAAGUUAGAGGUUCGAAGGCGAUCAGAUACCGCCCUAGUUCUAACCAUAAACGAUGCCAGCCAGCGAUCCGCCGAAGUUCCUUGGAUGACUCGGCGGGCAGCUUCCGGGAAACCAAAGCUUUUGGGUUCCGGGGGAAGUAUGGUUGCAAAGCUGAAACUUAAAGGAAUUGACGGAAGGGCACCACCAGGAGUGGAGCCUGCGGCUUAAUUUGACUCAACACGGGAAACCUCACCAGGCCCGGACACUGGAAGGAUUGACAGAUUGAUAGCUCUUUCUUGAUUCAGUGGGUGGUGGUGCAUGGCCGUUCUUAGUUAGGUGGAGCGAUUUGUCUGGUUAAUUCCGAUAACGAACGAGACUCUGGCCUGCUAACUAGAUGUCGGAUCUCAUCGAGUCCGAUUUUCUUCUUAGAGGGACAGGCGGCGUCUAGCCGCACGAGAUUGAGCAAUAACAGGUCUGUGAUGCCCUUAGAUGUUCUGGGCCGCACGCGCGCUACACUGAAGGAAUCAGCGUGUGCCCCCUGUCCGAGAGGACCGGGUAACCCGCUGAACCUCCUUCGUGCUAGGGAUUGGGGAUUGCAAUUAUUUCCCAUGAACGAGGAAUUCCCAGUAAGCGCGAGUCAUAAGCUCGCGUUGAUUACGUCCCUGCCCUUUGUACACACCGCCCGUCGCUACUACCGAUUGAAUGAUUUAGUGAGGCCUUCAGACUGGGGCACUGCGUCACCCUCACGGGUGACACGGAUGCUCUGGAAAGAUGGCCAAACUUGAUCAUUUAGAGGAAGUAAAAGUCGUAACA
rnacentral:rRNA from 1 species